rnacentral:rRNA from 1 species
CCUACGGGUGGCAGCAGUGGGGGAUAUUGCACAAUGGGGGAAACCCUGAUGCAGCGACGCCGCGUGGGUGAAGAAGCGCCUCGGCGCGUAAAGCCCUGUCAGCAGGGAAGAAAAUGACGGUACCUGAAGAAGAAGCCCCGGCUAACUACGUGCCAGCAGCCGCGGUAAUACGUAGGGGGCAAGCGUUAUCCGGAUUUACUGGGGGUAAAGGGGGCGCAGACGGGGAUGCAAGCCAGGGGUGAAAGCCCGGGGCCCAACCCCGGGACUGCUGUUGGAACUGCGUGGCUAGAGUGCAGGAGGGGCAGGCGGAAUUCGUGGUGUAGCGGUGAAAUGCGUAGAUAUCAGGAGGAACACCGGUGGCGAAGGUGGCCUGCUGGACUGCAACUGACGUUGAGGCCCGAAAGCGUGGGGAGCAAACAGGAUUAGAUACCCUUGUAGUC